GGCCAUUCCACUCCGAAUGAAAUGGAACCAAUGAUUGUGUGUUUCCUAGGAAAAACUAACUAGAACGAUAGCUGAAACAAAUGACACUACAGAGUUGACAUUUUGGCUGUCUAAUUCUAUUGUGCUGAGAACAAUUAUAAGCAAAACUACCAAAGACAUGACACCAUCUAAUACUUCUGGAUCUAGAACAAAAAGGAAGAAUGGAGAGGUGAAAGUUGGAAAGGUAACACAACCACUAAUAUGGAGAGGGUUCUCUCCUAGGAAAAACGAUUACAUGGCUUUUGAGAAUGGAGGGUAUCUCCGUGGAUGCAUGUGGGUGUUUCAAAACAGCAAGGAAUUUUUUCACCAUAUUUGGAAUGAAAACGAAAAGGCAGAGAAGUAUGUCAUAACACCACCUACNAUGACUCUACAUAAUUGCUUUCUUGAUGUAUUGUAGCUUGUGCAGAAAAGUUUUGGCCGGCUAUACUUUAAUGACUUCAUGAGAAAUCUCAGUUUUGUUAAUGAAGCUGUCANGGAGACCCUUGCACCAUAUGGUUCCUUAUCCUGUGAUGAGACACUACAUCUCUUUAUACAGCAUUUGCAUCUCUUCUAUUUAUGAAGCUUUUUUAAAUAUAUAACUGGGUAACUAUUAUGUUAUAUAGUAGGUAUCUCAUGAAGGAAAUGUGUCACAUAAUGAAUAUAACGAAGAAAAAGAACCUUAGAUAUCUU